CGACAUCCAGAGAACUUAGCAGAGAUGCUUUGGUGCCUUCGGGAACUCUGAGACAGGUGCUGCAUGGCUGUCGUCAGCUCGUGUUGUGAAAUGUUGGGUUAAGUCCCGCAACGAGCGCAACCCUUAUCCUUUGUUGCCAGCGGUUCGGCCGGGAACUCAAAGGAGACUGCCGGUGAUAAACCGGAGGAAGGUGGGGAUGACGUCAAGUCAUCAUGGCCCUUACGGCCAGGGCUACACACGUGCUACAAUGGCGCAUACAAAGAGAAGCGACCUCGCGAGAGCAAGCGGACCUCAUAAAGUGCGUCGUAGUCCGGAUUGGAGUCUGCAACUCGACUCCAUGAAGUCGGAAUCGCUAGUAAUCGUAGAUCAGAAUGCUACGGUGAAUACGUUCCCGGGCCUUGUACACACCGCCCGUCACACCAUGGGAGUGGGUUGCAAAAGAAGUAGGUAGCUUAACCUUCGGGAGGGCGCUUACCACUUUGUGAUUCAUGACUGGGGUGAAGUCGUAACAAGGUAGGCGUAGCGAG
rnacentral:rRNA from 1 species